rnacentral:lncRNA from 1 species
CUCAGCCCCCGCAGCAGCGACACGGCGUGUGCCGGCUCUCCCACCGCCGCCGCCGCCGUCGUCCCACCGCCGCCUGCGCUGGCUGCCAUGCCGUGCCUGGAGGGGAGCUCACGCCGAGCCGCAGUCUGAAGGGACGCCGGGUUCAGCCCUGAGAGCAGCCUCGCGCCUCCGCGCUUCUCAGCGCCGCUCCGCCCCGCUCCGCUCCGCCCUCAGCGGCGCCGCCCCGCACCGCGCA